CUCUCUCUCUCUCUGUCAGUAGUUGCACAGGUCUUCAAGGGUAUUUUUACGGUUUUAGUGACAGAUUAACAACAUUUCUACAUUAAUAACAGGAGAAACACCAUUGAAAACCCUGAUAAUCAUCUUUAUAGCUUUGAAAAACAGUCGUGAAGAGAGAGAGAGAGAGAGAGAGUAGGAGCAUUUCAGUUGAGCCUAUUCUGCCCUGGUUCGUGUUUGCUGCGGUGACACGGUGCCGCACUGAGUGAAGAUUGCGUUCAUAAUCACUUAUCAGGGGUGGAGUGGGGAAAGGAGAGUCAGGAAGUGAGGAUAUUUAUAUAAUUUGACAUAUUAUUUGAUAGCAUGUCAACUUUUGUGUGUGUGUGUGUGUGUGGGUGGGUGUUGGAUCAGUGACAGGUGGCGCUGGGGAGUUACCACGGCGAGCGGCUGGCUGGCUACAGUGUUUUGGUCAGCACUGGUCAAUCUUGCCCUACACGCUCUAUUAACCAGUGUUUCCGUCUUCCUGACACCUUCUUCCUGCACCAAGCACCGUCAAGCAUCACCAGAGAGGCACGAGUACGUAAGCUAUCCAACAUCAGAACAGUAUAUGAAUAUGGCAAAUGCUGUUUUGACAUCAUUUCCUGCCAUCCUGAGAAAAAGUGAUCACGAGGAGCAUGAAUUGCAGCUGCAAUGGAAAUUGCGCAUCCAGCGCAAGUUUCAGAAUUCAAGAAAGAGGCAGGAUUCCUCAGUGACUGAGGUGACGUCAAGGAAAAAGAAGAUCCCUUGCAUAGCGCCAAAACAGACUACGUGUCCACUGAUGUAUGGAGUAAAGGCUUACCUUCCACCAAGGCCCCAUUCAGAAGAUGAUGAGUCAUUAGAGAGACAUAGACAGUGGCUUGCUCUACAUUGGAUGAAGAAAGAUCCCGAGUUAGAUAAGAUAAUCAAGAAGUUUCUGAGAUUAGAACCACAAGCGGAUGAACCAAACCCAAGAGUAGCAGUUUUGAAAGGGCUGGAGAAAUAUAGGCUCCCAAUAAUUGCAAUUCUCAAAAAAAAGAAAAGCAGUUCCUCUGUAUAUGGAAACCUUACUUGAACUAUAUGACCACGAUGAAAGUCAAUGUGAGUAAUGUCUAGUUCAAUUUGUUCAUUUCAGUAGCUGGUAGCAAUUUAAUAUAUGUAUCUUUUCAUCAUUAGCAAUGCAUCUUUCACUUUUAUAAGCCUAGUAUUCAUGAAACUAUGCUGCAUGCAAAAACCAAACAUUGUAUUAAGCAUGACCUAUCUAACUGUAAUGCUUGCACCAAUUUCUAUAAAGGUACUAAUUUAAUUGUUAAAUUCCUGCUCUUCUAUCAAAUUUUUGGCUGAGUGCUAUGGCUAAAUAAUUGAUUGCAGCAUAAGUGAUGUUAAAGAUUUUAAUAGGUGUAAAGUAUCUCUCUCUCUCUCUCUCUCUCUCUCUCUCUCUCUCUCUUGUAAGGAAAGACAUUAUUUCUAGUGUAAAUAAACCCAAUAGGCUGUCCAAUUUGAAAUUUAAAAUGUAAAUAUUAUCAAUCUUUUUAGAAAUGUUAGCUGCAUCCUCUUCCCUUGCAGUCCAAUAAGACAGGUCACUAAUUCGUGUGGAGAUAGAAUUCUUGGAGUCACCUUUGCCGGCACUAGCGCAAGUGCAAACAGUCUGAUAAAGGUUUCUUCCAUGGUUGUGAUGAAGUUCAGGACUUCUCACACUGUUUUGGUGGAUAUGAUGAGAAGAAUCGGGAGUUCGGA